GUUACAUGGAGAAAACUGGACUUAUGCGAAAUUGGCAAUUGAAUCGUGCACUGAUCAUGCAAACAAUGUGGCCAGCAACCGGAGAUUCGAUUCCAGUCUGUCAAAAUGAAGGAUCACGCGAAACUUGUGCUUGUAAGCGUACGUACGCCAUCGCUAAAUGUCUGAUGAUUCGCUCUCUGGUGGAUGCCCGCAACAAGCCGGUCGUUUGACGAUAAUUGGCUCGCCACAAGCAGUUCGAUAAGCAGCUGCAGAUACACUUUUCAAUGUUUAUUCUAUUCGAAGUUGUGUGCUUUAUUGUUAUGUAAAUGUAUCUACGAGAAUAUCGCCAAUUAUCACUUGCUUUAAUAAAUAAAUGUGCGCUUUGUUUCAAGCGUUUAAUCUGCUUCAAA